rnacentral:rRNA from 1 species
AGUGAACGCUGGCGGCGUGCCUAAUACAUGCAAGUCGAACGCGAAAGUCCUUCGGGAUGAGUAAAGUGGCGCACGGGUGAGUAAUACAUGGGAACGUGCCCUCAAAUGGGGAAUAACAGUUGGAAACGACUGCUAAUACCGCAUAGUCUCGCAAGAGUAAAGGUGGCGCCGUAAGGGCUACCGUUUGAGGAUCGGCCCAUGUCCCAUUAGCUAGUUGGUGAGGUAAUAGCUCACCAAGGCGACGAUGGGUAACUGGUCUGAGAGGAUGAUCAGUCACACUGGAACUGAGACACGGUCCAGACUCCUACGGGUGGCUG